GGCGGGGGCUUUGCAGGCAAAAAAAGAGAUCCAGCGAAUUGACAAUAAUCGUUAUCUAUAAUCAAUAGCUAUAAUUAUCAAUAUAUAUGUUAUCGAUAGAUAACAAUAAUCAUCUAUAAUCAACAAAACAAACGAAUUGUCAAUAUAUGUUAUAAUUGACUAUAAUUGUAAUACAUUAACUGGCUAAGUGUGAAGAUGGGGGACAAUGCCAACUGGCAGCGACCUUUCUUUCAGGGGCUCUAACCCCUUUGAGCCCAUAACUACCAUCAGCCUUCAGAUAGUAAGUGAAAAGGGGAGCAGUGGAGUGUUCCGAUUUCAUGCCGGGGGGCUGCAUAAUACUGCCCUGCCGGCCGCAGGUUGCCGACCCCUGCUCUAAUGCAUUGUCAUGCCCACAUUUGGGGUGAUUAAGUAGCAUAAAGGCACAUCGUCACAUUGUAUAAAAAUUGGAGAUUGGAGUCAAGUGUACUAUUGUUUCCUGCUAAUGCGGUUGAAUCUAUCCUAACCAGUUGUCUCAUUUUAUCAGGCUUCCAUUGGACUUCAGUUAAGCAGUAUGCAAGGGAACUAUUACAAAUAAGAUGACAUGAUCUUUUUAUAUUUCUUGUGUCUCACCACAUUCACCAUGUAUCAGCUUAGCCCUUUGCAGAAGGAAAUGCCUAAAUUCAUCUUUUUGGACAAGGAAAAAAAAAGGGAAGAAGCCUCUCGAAUGCUGGGAAAGCCUUCUAUUUUGUUAAGGCUAGUUCUGGGUGCCUAGGGUCAUAUGACUUAACGCAAAAUUGUAUGUGGAGGUAUACGUAAGUGCAUUGCAGAAAGCUGCAGAAACCAUUCAAAGUAAUUUGUUAAAGCCUUAGAGUGUGCUAAAGUCUUGUCAUGGCUGUUGCAUUUAAUGGGCAAAGAAGUAAGCCUAUCUGUAGUUGUCACCACUGCAAAAGUUAUGGGUGGUAGACAGCACAAAAGCAUGGAGGAAAUAGAAGUGUUCACACGAUAAUCAGCAUCGCAUAAAUUUACAGAAAGACCAAUUCUUUCUGUUCAAUUCUCCAUUACUGCUUAUGUAGAUUUUGGUACAGUGGGGAUAGAACAAAA